UGUCACUUUAUUCAUGAAAUAUCCUAGGAAAUAUCAGAAAUAGAGCAGCGAGAGUGUUAAGAUUGAUACAACUGCAAGAAACACAAUUGUACAACUUGUUGGCUAUGGUUAACAAUAACAUGUAUUCUUGGAAAUCACCAAAAGAGUAGAUGAUAAUUGUUCUCACCAAAAAAAAGAAAAAAAGAUAUGUGAGGCAAUGCAUGUGUUAAUUAGAUCAACUUAGCAAUUCUAUAAUGUAUACCCAUUUCAAAAUAUCCUGUUUUACACCAUAAAUGUACAUAAUUUUAUGUGUCAAUUAAAAUAUACCUUAAAAAAAUGAAAGCAACAGAAUUAGACAAGUUGACAUUUUUCCACUGCUGUUGUUACAGAAACUUUUUUCCAAAGAAAUUUAAGAAUUCUCUUUAAAAGACAACUUUUGAAAUUGUGCAUUACUAUGAAAUCUAGCCAAUUCUGAAAUUGAGUCUAGCCAAUUCUGUUGUAGAAACUGAAGAAGGAAGAGAUUUGUAGCUUGAAAGUUGGUGCUUCGUUAUGAAAUUUCGCCCUUUUUUGCUCAUGUUUCAGAGAUGAUUCCACAGAGAACAGAUUUGCCCAAAGAGAGAAAAAAGGGGUUCAAGAUUCCAAAAUGGGUAGUGAUUGAAAAUCAGAAAAAGUAUUGUGAGAUUAAGGAAAAUUAAAUGUAUGAUUUGAUGAGUGAUUGACAAGUUAGCCCCAGGUUCCACUGAGCAAUAUUUAUGGGAAAAGGUGGGAGGGAAAGAGAGUCCUGGAGGCCUGGGCAUGACACUGGUGUGACAGGCGCUUGGCAGGGGCACGGGGAGGGCCGGGCUGGAUUCGCAAACACCCCGAGCCGGCUCUCUGAACUCUUGUUCAUCUUUAUUUUAUGCUGCAGCUUGUGUUUGUGCUGGUGGAAGGUAAAAGAAAAACACAAGAGACAAAUCUGUAGUUUCCAAAUCAAAGCUCGGCUUUGCUGACUGCUGCAAGUGGCUUGUCAAAGUCCAAGCAGGUGGGCGGUGCCUGUGGCUCGAAGGAGUAGGGCACCAGCCCCAUAUGCCGGAGGUGGCGGGUUCAAGCCCAGCCCCAGCCAAAAACUGCAAAAAAAAAGCCCAAGCUAGGCGCGGACAUUAAAACUCCUCGUUUCUGUGGACUGACAAGCUGAGUAUUGUACGGUUCUUUUGUUCUUAAUUCAUAGAUGCAAAAAGAGUAUGUUUCAAUGUAUCUUACAUUUAUCUUGAAAUAUUCUCAAUUUUUUUUUCAAUUUGAUUGGCUCUUGGAGAACAUAAAACUGGGCAGAAAAACACGGAAGGGGACCGCGGAUGAUACGAAGAGGCGCCUGUUACAAGAGAAUUUCAGACGGAGAAGAAGCUAUCGCCUCUUAUACACUCUUGAUAACGACCCCAAGACCCAAAGUCAUGGAAUCCGAGCGAAAACCCAGGCCGGUCCGGAGUAGGCCGCCCGAGGGUCCCGCGGCUGGCGUGGGAACCGGGACUGCGCCGAGGGCUGGCGAGGCGGGAAGGCGAAGGAGGGGACUGGGUUGACCUCUAAAAAGCUGGAGCGGGAGGCAACUUCUCGCGUAAGGAGGCGGGAAGGGGCCUCCCCGGUGAAGACGCUGAGUAUUUUUUCCUAAGAGAAGCAGCCCGCUCCUUUCUGGCCUUGGGAGCGCCGAGUAGGGGCCGCGGCGUUGUCUACCACGCCGGUUUUCAAUUUGGAAGAAAGUUAAUCGCUUUCUUGUCGCCCUCCACGCUGACGGAAGCGACCAUCGUCCCCGAAUGCAUCUCCCAGGCUCGUUACUGAGCACGCGUCUCCUCCAGGGUCCUGGGCGCAUUUCAGCUCUUCCUUAUUCCCAAAUCUUUAUCUUUGGCUUUGUCAGCUGUAAAGUCACAUUGGCACCUCGGGCGGUCGUGGAAGGUCUCUGGAUUCCUUGUUUAGACGAAGGUCCAGAGGACCCACCAUUCCUGCCACCUCCCCGCUCUUCCGACACCCCAGGAAUACCCUCAAGGUGUCACGUACGCAGCUGUGGGGCGCCCUCCCCCAGAUUGUUAGGGGCGCGGCACGGGGCUGGGAGCGCAGCUGCCGCCGCUGCGGGGGUACCGGGUGUCCCCGACGACCCGCACAGUCACCCACCCAGAAUCAGCUGGAGGCGGGUGGCGGCGCGGAGGGUGGCACCAGCUACGUGAAGGGAGUCUUUGUGCAAGAGCAGGGGUGAGGGCGGGCGGGGAGGAGGGAGCGAGCUGGGACCCGUGGGCGGGGGUUGGGGCGUUCCUGCAGCCCCCACUCCCCCCGCGCCUGGAUAACAGGAUAGUACCCGCAGCCGGUCGGGGACAGUGUGGCGAAGCAGAGGCUGCUGGGGUCCCUCUGUUUGGCCCUCUCUCAGACACAGUGGAAGAAAGCAGCUCGGAUAAGUUGGGGGGUGGGGAGGGAUUUGGCCCCCAGCCCCUCUCUCAGGUGGUUGGAGACGUCAGCUAGCUGCAAGGGCGCGACACUCGCGGGGACGGGUCCCAGGGCAGCCCCCGGCAGAGCCUCCCGCGCGGAGCUGCCCCCGCCUGGGGAGCGCGGGGAGCGCCGCCUUCCCCCAGCGCCGGCCGCGUGGCUCGCGGCUUAUUUUCCCAGCUGGCGAGCGUCGCGCUGCAGACAAGGGAAUGCCUGUGGUCCUGCGCGCUCCGGAGCUUGGGGGACCGCUGAUCCCACCCUGCCGCGUCCAGGAGCGGAAGGGUUAAGCAUGAUCUAAGUACAAACCGCAGGCUGCUGGCCCUGGGCUGUCGGACAGAGGGGGAGCCCGCGCUCCAGUGAGGGCUGCACGAAUCGCAGACCGGGUCUCAGCACCGGAGCCUCAGCCCUGGGAGGUCCUCGGGUUAGCUUCCUGGAAAUGGAGAGCUACGAACCCGGGAACAGUUAAGACAUCACGCAGGGGUCCAGGAAAGGGACCUCGUGGUGUGCGGAGCCAUCCCCGCGCCUGGCCUGUCCUAACGGUCCGCUCGUGCGUCCGGCCCGCGGCGUGUCCUGCGGGGUCACCUGAGGGAACUCUUCGCGCUCCUCUUUCCUUCCUGGAAGCUAAGACCCAGGAGGGAGCACAAGCGGCCAGAAACGGGGUGUCUUAUGAAUUACACAAAUUGUCAGUCGCUUCGUAAUUUUUUUCUGAUUAAAAUAUAAAACUUUCGUCAUAGAUUUUAUGUUUGCGCUCCAGCUCCCUCCCCAGAUUCCUCUCCGUGGAGCCUAAAAUCCUCCUGGACUCUCGAGGAGCUCGAGGGUGGCGGCUCUGGAAGCGACCGGUGACCACACUCGCUCCAAUCCGGUUCCCGAACCUGCCAGAGUGUCCACUGACCCAAUGUCUCGAAAAUAGGAACCACCUUGCGGCUUAUUAAUUGUGAAAAUUAGCAUUUUCCUCUAGUGGCUGAACACUCAAGCAGCAAUAAAAAGUGAACUGUUAGGCGCAUAAA